UACGAAGGGGGCUAGCGUUGCUCGGAAUCACUGGGCGUAAAGCGCACGUAGGCGGAUUGCUAAGUCAGGGGUGAAAUCCUGGAGCUCAACUCCAGAACUGCCCUUGAUACUGGCGACCUCGAGUCCGGGAGAGGUGAGUGGAAUUCCUGGUGUAGCGGUGAAAUGCGCAGAUAUCAGGAGGAACACCAAUGGCGAAGGCAGCUCGCUGGGACGGUACUGACGCUGAGACGCGAAAGCGUGGGGAGCAAACAG
rnacentral:rRNA from 1 species